GCAGAUGACCUAUCACGGGAUGUCACCUUGUGAACAUGUGUCAGAUCUACGUCACUACUUGCAAGCUCUUCCCAUCUAUUUCUGCUCUUUCUUCCUCUGGCCUUCAUGGGAGAUAGAUCUACUGGUUCUCUUGAGCAUGUCUAAUGCCAUCUUUGCAUCAAUGUCUCAGAGGACCUGACCUGGGCCAUGUGGUAAAUAAGCCUUCCCAAGUUAAAAUUGUGCCAUAUAAUAUUAUAAUGAGCAUGCUCAGUGUCUGAAAUCAGCCAGCAGAGGUUAGAAUGCUCACUGGAUGUUUCCAAGUGCAAUCACAAAACUUGAUGGAGAUCAGAGGGCUCCUUUACUUGGAAGAAGAAUUUGAACCCCCUUGGUUU